rnacentral:lncRNA from 1 species
GUUACGGUUAUAUGCACCUUCCCGACGGCCACCGUAUCCUCCAGCACCACCACUGCGGUUGUAUCCACCGCCACUUCCGUAACCGCCACCGCCUCCACCGCGGCUUCCGCGGGACUGAGCUUCGUUCACAGUGAUGUUGCGUCCAUCAAGGUUCUGACCGUUCAUCCCUUCGAUCGCAUCCCUCAUUGAAUCCUCGGAGGCGAAGGUAACAAAUCCAAAUCCCCUGGAUCUUCCAGUCUCACGAUCGUUGAUAAUCUACACAUAAAACCACAAACGGUUCAUCAAAUUGAAAUGAAAAGCAAAACAGCACGAAAACAAAAACCAGAACCGAAUAGAAACCGAUCGAUCUUCUUCUUUGGCAAAAAGAUGAAGAUGAACGUACCUAUUGGCGUGAGUAAUAAAAGAAUCAUAUAGUAACACAAGUAUCAUAUCAUAGAACAAGUAACGCAAAUAGAUCAGAGAUCACAGAUCAGAACGGGAUGGAGAAAUUCCGGAUCCGAAUUGUGUCAGAUCAUAUGCGAUGCGGACCUUCGAUUCAACGACGUCACCGUACUGAGAGAAGGCUUUCUCCAGAUCGUAGUUGUCAGUGGCCCAAGCGAGCCCACCAACAAAGCAUCGGUAUUCAACAUCCGCAGAAGCCAUGGAAAUUUGGAAAAGAGGAUAGGAAUAAGAUUGACAUGCCCCAAGUGAUAGUCUUAUAGCAAGUGAAUUGUUAAUCAGGGUUACCGCGUGCAAGUUGGACCUUAACCAGGGUUAAAUUAGUAGCGACUUUACAGGGGGGAAUAUUUUCUCUUAUGGAGUACUAUUAUUUUUUCGGUGGUACUGUAAUGGAUAACCUGACGUGACGUGCACCACUAUUAUUGGCGUUUUUUCAGAAGGAGUUGUUACGUGUCGUGCAUGCAUGAGGGGGGCGCCACUGAAAGAGCCAUCUUCUUCCUGUCACCACUCACAACUGACACAGACACAUCGUACUUUUUCUUUUUCUUUUUCUAACAUUUAUUACUUUUUGCCACUGCAUAGACUAGCAUAAGUUUAUUGGAAGGAUAAAUAGGUGAGAAAAAAAUUAUAAUAAAUGAUUAAAUUCAGUGCCUGAAUUUAUAUUUUAUUAUCAUAUUAGUUUGUUCUUUUACUUUUUAAAUCUCAUAAAAUUUUAAAUAGAUAAUUCUUUAAAUUAUUUUUUAAUUUUACUAUUUAAUAUGAGAUAAUAAUUAAAUUCUAGGAUCAAAAUGAAAAAAAAUAUCAAAGACUUCAAUGAUUUUUAAAAAAAACUUAUUUAAGUUUUUAUUUUUUAAUUUUAAGAACUAAAAAUAACAAUAAGAUACAAAUUAAGAGAUUAUAUUCACUAUCUAGUAAGAAAAACUAUUUAGAAUUAUCUAAAACAAUCAUAAUAUUUAAAAAUAUUUAUUCAUUAUAAUUUUAAUUAGAUAAGAAUUGUCAGAUUAAAGUAUUAAUUAUAUUAUUUUAACAGGAAUUUUUGCUAAAAAGAUUAUGAAUUUUUCACUUAAGAAACAAUACUUUUUUAUUCUUUUCUAUAGUACAUUUUAACUAAAUGAACAAUUUAUAACAUUCAAAAUUAGAACGUCGCCUGUAAUUGUGUGUUUUCAGACUUCCACGUUUGUCACAUAAAUUGACGUGAGUUAUGUUCUCAAUCAAACGCGUAAGUUAUUAAAUUCUCGUAUUUUUCAACUCGAAAAUUUCAAUAUAUUUUCUUUAACAUAUUGCCUGUAAACAUUUUUAAUCCAAUUUAAUUUAUUGACAAAAUUAACAAUUACUAGUAAAGUUCUUGACAAUUGCAAGUUAAUGACAACUUUUUUCAUAUCCAGCUUACCGAAACAGGUAAACUAAUAGCCAUUCUCCAUUAAAAAUGCAAUCAGAAUAUUUUCUUCGUCCAUCGUAGAUCGUACAAAUGAAAAUCUGUUUAAUACUUCUCCGAUUAUCAUUUCAUUCAAUCGAUUGUACACAAAGAGAUAGAAAGACAGACACCCAAACCACACAACACCUAAAAUUACUGAACUUAAUCAUAAACCCUAAUCUUGUUCAUCCAGCUCUAGUUUCUCCGGCUUCCAUUGACAUCGCCACCACGAGAGUAGCGUGAACCACCGUCACCGUAACCACAAUCUCUGUCACCACCAUAACCACCCCCUCCAUAGCCUCCACCACCACGGUUAUAUCCACCUUCACGACGACCACCGUAUCCACCGCGGCUGCCGCGGGACUGAGCUUCGUUCACAGUUAUGUUACGUCCGUCAAGGUUCUGACCGUUCAUCCCUUCGAUCGCAUCCUUCAUUGAAUUCUCCGAGGCGAAGGUAACAAAUCCAAAUCCCCUGGACCUUCCGGUCUCACGAUCGUUGAUAAUCUGCACGUAAAAACACGAACGGUUCAUCAAAUUGAAAUCGAAAGCAAAACAGCACGAAAACCAAAUCCAGAACCGAAUAGAAACCGAUCGAUCUUCGCCUUUGGUAAAGAGAUGAAGAUGAACGUACCUAUUGGCGUGAGUAAUAAAAGAGAAUUAUAUAAGAAGAAGAAGAAGAAGUAUCAUAGAUCAAGUAACGGAAAAAGAUCAGAGAUCAGAACGGGAUCGUGUGCGAUGGCUGCAACAAACGGAC